rnacentral:rRNA from 1 species
CAGGCCUAACACAUGCAAGUCGAACGAGACCUUCGGGUCUAGUGGCGCACGGGUGCGUAACGCGUGGGAAUCUGCCCCUUGGUUCGGAAUAACAGUUAGAAAUGACUGCUAAUACCGGAUAACGACGUAAGUCCAAAGAUUUAUCGCCGAGGGAUGAGCCCGCGUAGGAUUAGCUAGUUGGUGUGGUAAAGGCGCACCAAGGCGACGAUCCUUAGCUGGUCUGAGAGGAUGAUCAGCCACACUGGGACUGAGACACGGCCCAGACUCCUACGGGAGGCAGCAGUGGGGAAUAUUGGACAAUGGGCGAAAGCCUGAUCCAGCAAUGCCGCGUGAGUGAUGAAGGCCUUAGGGUUGUAAAGCUCUUUUGUCCGGGACGAUAAUGACGGUACCGGAAGAAUAAGCCCCGGCUAACUUCGUGCCAGCAGCCGCGGUAAU